ensembl:lncRNA
AAGCCAAGAAUUUAUUUUGAGUCCAAUUGAAAUCUUUAUAGUUGAAAUAUUGAAAAUAUUUGAAAUAUUAUUACCCCAGAUUAGAUCAUUACAGAACAAAAAAAAAAAAAAGAAGUAUUUACAGAAAAAGUAUAAUAACAUAGAAUUGUCACACACAUACUUCCUAGUCUCUGCUUCUUUUCUUGAUAUUAUGCUCAGCCUUCCAAUGCCUCUUAGGGUCCUAGCACUAAAGGUUUCAGAAAGAAGAGGAGGUCAUGCAACUCAAAUUGUUUAGCCAUGAGGAACACGGUAUUGUUGAUUUCUUCCCCCUCAUCUUAGGAACCUCUUGAAGUAAUAUUUAUGUGUUUUCUAACUUGCAUGUUUUCUAACAUAAACCUUGCUUGCUCUUUACUGAUUAGUUCAUGGUACUGCCAAGUUUCCUAUAUAUGGUGCAUUUCAUGUAAGUUAGAUGGUUGUUCUUUGUUCUCUUUGUACCUCUAAAGGCAGUUUUGCUCAGCUCUGAGUAAUUUCUUCAGCUGACUGUUGAUGAGUUGUUUAUAGUGCCUGCAAUGUCAGCCUGUACCGGGUCUUCUACCACCUCAUGCCUGCACUCCUCUAGACCAUGUCCUGUGUCCUCACUUUUCAAGGCAUCUCCUAUCAUAUCAUAUCUUCUACAGAGAAUAUCUAUAUAAAACUGUGGUUAUACCAUUCAAAUGUAAGAAAAAUCAUGCAAAUUGGGCAUAACCACGUGAUCAAUAGGAAAAUUCUAUUAUAGCUAAGUUGGGAAGUUGCAGGCAUUCAAGAGAAGUUGAGACAAAAUAAGCUUAUUUGGCAAGCUGCUGUCCUGAGGCCUUGCAAAACCGGAACUGCUGCUAGCACUGGCAAUACAGUAUUUAUUGGGCUACAGGACAACACUACACCAGCUAUGAAAUGAUGUACAUUGUCUUCCUUAGUAAUGUGACUCCAGUUAGGGAUAUCACUCUUGGAAACAUUUUGGAACUACUUCAUCUAGUUUUUUAUGUCAUGUCAUUUCUACAGUACCAUAUUUUCUCUCCUUGUAGGAUUUAUGGUCCCAGUUCCUGACUUUUUAAUGAGAAGGCUGACAGAGGGUUUCAGUCAUUCCUGCUAUGGCUGGGCCAUCAUCUCUCACACUUCAAGUCAUGGCACUUCAUCUACCCUGAGUAUUACUCAUUCUGGGAUCUAGAGGUAGUUCAGGUAAUAUGAAAAGCAGGCUGAUCUGCUACAGGCUGCUUUGAAAGUUUGCUUUUGGUUUUAGUGACAGCUAUUUGCUUAAAUUUCUCUUAAUAUGUUAAAUUAAUACAUGCUUCAAGAAAUGAUCAGGCAUGAAGAAUGCAGUUAAACAUAGUAUCCAGAAGAAAUAACAAAUGUGGCACAGAGUUAGACAUCAGGUCCCAUAUUUACCACAAUUCGGUAAUUGCUGUGGUUUGCUCUCUCUGGUUUGCCCCCAGAUACAUGCCUUAAGUGGAAAGUUCAAACAUAGUCCCCUAGCAUAGAAAGUAGAAGGUCUAAGGACUUGCACAAAAAUCUCUACAGCUUGUGAGGAAAGUAACCUUCCAGUUCAUCAGCUGAGCCUUUUUGAUGUGGUUGUUCCUCCAUUAGCUGCCUUCAGUGUUGCUACAGUAAUAAAUCACGUCCAGUAAAGGUACAUAUAGAAAGCAAAUAUUGAAUGACUUUUCGUGUUUGUGAUUUGCUCUGUUAUUGUGUAAAUAUAUUGUUAUACUGGUUUAUAUGUAGCUAUAGAGAAUAACACAUUUAGCAUUUUAUUUUUUUCAAGCCACAGCUGACAGGUAGCUCCCUAGGAUAAGUUCACUCUUAUAACCUAAUAAUAGUGCAUGGUUUUGUUCCACCUCUGCAAACACACUGAGCAUUUUAUGGUAUGCUCCUAUUGGACCCAGCCUAAUACUGAACUUAGCUUUUGAAUCACCCCACUCUUUCUAUCACGUUCAUGAUUUCAGUUCCCAGGGCCUCAUCCUAGUGAGCCAAACAGAUACGUGACUGAGCAGCAAUGGAAUCUUAACUAAAAACUGUUCUGCAUGGGAGCAGUGAAGGCAUUCAUCCUGAUUUCAUGUCCAUGCAGAGAGUUAGGGACCCUUCUCUUUGGGCAUAAGAUACAAAAUCAUGUUGGGGACCUGCACCAGGGGGACCAGGGGCAGUUCUACUCUGAAAAUUAACUUUGUAAAAGAAAUUUCAAAUAAAAAGUUACUUCUGGUUGCUCUACUAAAAGAAAUUAAGUGACAAGGAAAAGCUGUUGGCCCUGUGAUGUUGAGCCAGACCCUUCACAGUACUGCUCUAUCCUGGCUGUAUGAUUUUAGCACAGUCUUUACACGUGGCUUUUACGUGCCUUCAGUGCAAUUAACAACUAGGAUUUUUUGUAGCUCUAGUAAACAACGUUAGUGCGCAUCCAGUGCCUUUUUCUGAGCAGUGUACGCUUCCUAGAGCUAACAGCUAAAAUUAAAAAUGCCUAUUUUGUUAUUUGAUG